rnacentral:rRNA from 1 species
UACGGGGGGGGCAAGCGUUGUUCGGAAUUACUGGGCGUAAAGGGCUCGUAGGUGGUCAACUAAGUCGGACGUGAAAUCCCUCGGCUUAACCGGGGAACUGCGUCCGAUACUGGAUGACUUGAGUUCGGGAGAGGGAUGCGGAAUUCCAGGUGUAGCGGUGAAAUGCGUAGAGAUCCGGAAGAACACCGGUGGCGAAGGCGGCCUGCUGGGCAGUUGCUGACACUGAGGCGCGACAGCGUGGGGAGCAAACAGG